ensembl:misc_RNA Metazoa_SRP Metazoan signal recognition particle RNA
GCCGGGAGCAGUGGCUUACGCCUGUAAUCCAAGUACUUUGGGAGGCUGAGGCAGGUGGAUCGCUUGAGGUCAGGAGUUCAAGACCAGCCUGGACAACAUGGUGAAACCCUGUCUCUACUAAAAAUACAAAAAUUAGCUGGGUGUGGUGGCAUGCACCUGUAAUCUCAGUUACUUGGGAGGCUGAGGCAGGAGAAUGGCUUGCACCCAGGAGGAGGAGGAGGUUGCAUCACAGCACUCUAGCCUGGGCAACAGAGCGAGACUCUGUCUCA